GCUGGGUGUGGUGGUGCGUGCCUGUAAUCCCAGCUACUCAGGAGGCUGUGGCAGGAGAAUUACUUGAACCCAGGGAGGUGGAGGUUGCGGUGAGCCAAGAUCGCACCACUGCACUCCAGCCUGGGUGACAGAGUAAGACCCUGUCUCAA
rnacentral:sRNA from 1 species